rnacentral:rRNA from 1 species
GACGAACGCUGGCGGCGUGCUUAACACAUGCAAGUCACGGGGGUCCCGUAGCAAUACGGGAUAACCGGCGAACGGGUGCGUAACACGUGAGCAACCUGCCGUACUCGAGGGGGAUAGCCGGCCCAACGGCCGGGUAAUACCGCAUACGAUUCUUCGGGGGAGUCCCCGGGGAAGGAAACCUCUGGGGGAGUACGAGGGGCUCGCGGCCUAUCAGCUAGUUGGUGCGGUAACGGCGCACCAAGGCGACGACGGGUAGCUGGCUGAGAGGAUGGCCAGCCACAUUGGGACUGAGAGACGGCCCAGACUCCUACGGGAGGCAGC